UACGUAGGGUGCGAGCGUUGUCCGGAAUUAUUGGGCGUAAAGAGCUCGUAGGCGGUGUGUCGCGUCGGCCGUGAAAACCUGGGGCUCAACUCUGGGCGUGCGGUCGAUACGGGCAUCACUGGAGUUCGGCAGGGGAGACUGGAAUUCCUGGUGUAGCGGUGAAAUGCGCAGAUAUCAGGAGGAACACCGGUGGCGAAGGCGGGUCUCUGGGCCGAUACUGACGCUGGAGACGCGAAAGCCGUGGGGAGCAAACAGG
rnacentral:rRNA from 1 species